GAUGAACGCUGGCGGCGUGCCUAAUACAUGCAAGUCGAGCGAACAGACGAGGAGCUUGCUCCUCUGACGUUAGCGGCGGACGGGUGAGUAACACGUGGAUAACCUACCUAUAAGACUGGGAUAACUUCGGGAAACCGGAGCUAAUACCGGAUAAUAUAUUGAACCGCAUGGUUCAUAAGUAAAUACGGUUUUGGUUGCACUUAUAGAUGGAUCCGCGCCGCAUUAGCUAGUUGGUAAGGUAACGGCUUACCAAGGCAACGAUGCGUAGCCGACCUGAGAGGGUGAUCGGCCACACUGGAACUGAGACACGGUCCAGACUCCUACGGGAGGCAGCAGUAGGGAAUCUUCCGCAAUGGGCGAAAGCUUGACGGAGCAACGCCGCGUGAGUGAUGAAGGUCUUCGGAUCGUAAAACUCUGUUAUUAGGGAAGAACAAAUGUGUAAGUAACUAUGCACGUCUUGACGGUACCUAAUCAGAAAGCCACGGCUAACUACGUG
rnacentral:rRNA from 1 species